AUGACACUAUUAAAGUGUCAGCAUUGCAUUGGAGAGGAUAAGGCAGCAGAGGACACAGAUCAUGUGGAGAAAAUCUUGCCACCCGGCUACAGUCAUCUACUUUGUCAUCAUGAACUGCUGGAUAUGUCAGGGGAUGUUGAAAACUUCAGAGCGGCUCUUAAGUUGCAGAUGACUACUGAGGAGCAGGUCCAGAAGUGGCUGGAGGACUUUCAGAAGUCCUCAGCUUUAACAUGGAGGAAAUCCAGGACAUACCCCGACUCUGGACGCUACAACAAAUACAGAGUGGAUCUGAGAUGCCAGCACAAAACAUACAGUUCAUCAUCCAAGACAAGCAAAAAUACUAACUGCCCUGCCACCAUGUUUCUGAUUCUCAAGAGAUUUAUGUGUGAAAGAAAGUCCAGAUCAGGAGAUCCACACAUUGAAGAGGGCUAUUUCCUUCACGUGAACUUAAGGAAUGAACAUAAUCAUAGACUGAACACAGCUGAGGUCAUGAGGUGGAGAGAUGUGUCGAAUGACACCAUUGAAAAGCUACAACAACUCUACAAAAGCGGUCACUCUCCUUCAUCUGCACUCAAGACUAUUAAAUACAACCUGCAGGAAGAGGAAGGCGAUAACUACACUUAUGCUAUUGCAGAUCGAUCGAUUUGCCCAGACCUUCAGUUCUGCUACAGAUUAUACCACAAGCUUUUUCAGAAAUCAUGUGCUGAACCUGCAGAGAAGGACAUUUCAGACGAGCUUUUUAAACCCUUAGAGUUGGAACAGUCAUGGGAGACAGCUGCAAUCACAGCAGACGGACACACCACGUGCAUUGAAGAUGGAGUGUCUGUUGAUGCUGUACCAAUCAUCACCACAGAGCAUUUCACUGAAGACGAUGAGCCAGGCCCAAGUGCAGCUGAAGAGGUCGUUGGUUCUUUAGAUGGACAGCUUGAGGAGAUCUUUGGGAUGCUGAAAAAGAAGCUGAACGAGGAUGCAAGUUUUACACCACCUAUAAGAGCUUUUGUGUCCAGUUUCUUUCAGAUAAAGAGUGACAGUGCUCUUCAAGCAUCACUCUUUUCCUUUGGUAAGACCACUCCGAUAAUCAAUCAGAUCAAUGUACUACCAGCUACUGGUCCACGGAGGAGAGGGGCUUUGGCUGGACGAAGAGCUGUGGGGAGACCCCCGAAGAACUCAAGAAGAGAGCACCCAUACUGCAACAGCAAAUCCAACAACACUUCCCAAACUCUCACUUUCUGUUUGCAAGACAAUAACACCCUUGAGAAUGAUCUAAAACCUGUGUAG
ensembl:lncRNA